rnacentral:misc_RNA from 1 species
GAUGAAGAACGCAGCGAAAUGCGAUACGUAAUGUGAAUUGCAGAUCUCUCAGUGAAUCAUCGAAUCUUUGAACGCACAUUGCGCCCGCCGGUAUUCUGGCGGGCAUGCCUGUUCGAGCGUCAUUUCAACCAUCAAGCGCUCGCUUGUGUUGGGGCCCUGCGGCCGCCGCAGCCCCCCAAAUCCAGUGGCGGGCCCGUCGUCGUACCGAGCGCAGUAGACAUCCUCGCUCGCGGACGCCGGCGGGCGCCGGCCGUGAAACCCCCCUCUCCAGGUUGACCUCGGAUCAGGUAGGAAUACCCGCUGAACUUAAGCAUAUCAAUAAGCGGAGGA